rnacentral:tRNA from 1 species
CUGGUAAAAGUAUUGGUGGUACAUCUGACUGUUAAUCAGGGGGAGUAGAUUGUUAAGUUUGCUUACUAGGC